rnacentral:rRNA from 1 species
UACAGAGGGUGCGAGCGUUAAUCGGAAUUACUGGGCGUAAAGCGUGCGUAGACGGCUAUCUAAGUCCGCUGUGAAAGCCCUGGGCUCAACCUGGGAAUUGCAGUGGAUACUGGCAAGCUAGAGUGCGGUAGAGGAUGGUGGAAUUCCCGGUGUAGCGGUGAAAUGCGUAGAGAUCGGGAGGAACACCGGUGGCGAAGGCGGCAUCCUGGACCGGUAUUGACGCUGAUGCGCGAAAGCCAGGGGAGCAAACGGG